GACGAACGCUGGCGGCGUGCCUAAUACAUGCAAGUUGAGCGCUGAAGGUUGGUACUUGUACCAACUGGAUGAGCAGCGAACGGGUGAGUAACGCGUGGGGAAUCUGCCUUUGAGCGGGGGACAACAUUUGGAAACGAAUGCUAAUACCGCAUAAAAACUUUAAACACAAGUUUUAAGUUUGAAAGAUGCAAUUGCAUCACUCAAAGAUGAUCCCGCGUUGUAUUAGCUAGUUGGUGAGGUAAAGGCUCACCAAGGCGAUGAUACAUAGCCGACCUGAGAGGGUGAUCGGCCACAUUGGGACUGAGACACGGCCCAAACUCCUACGGGAGGCAGCAGUAGGGAAUCUUCGGCAAUGGACGAAAGUCUGACCGAGCAACGCCGCGUGAGUGAAGAAGGGUGUCGGAUCGUAAAACUCGGUUGGUAGAGAAGAACGUUGGUGAGAGUGGAAAGCUCAUCAAGUGACGGUAACUACCCAGAAAGGGACGGCUAACUACGUG
rnacentral:rRNA from 1 species